UAGAUGGAUUACAAGAAGUAGAUACUCUGGACACUUCACAGCUGGUCCAAACAUGAUCCUUAUGGCAUACCGCGCAAUGAGGAGAUUCAAUGGAGAUAGUGAUCAAGGGUUCCCUAGCUAAAAGCAGAUGACAAAAACACAGCUUUCUUUCAUCAAGUGGCAUUAGCAAGGAGACGGUUUAAUUCUUACCCAAAAAAAAAAAAAAG
rnacentral:lncRNA from 1 species